GAGUUUACAACUCCCAAACCCAAUGUGAACCAUACCAAACUGUUGCCUCGGCGGGGUCACGCCCCGGGUGCGUCGCAGCCCCGGAACCAGGCGCCCGCCGGAGGGACCAACCAAACUCUUUCUGUAGUCCCCUCGCGGACGUUAUUUCUUACAGCUCUGAGCAAAAAUUCAAAAUGAAUCAAAACUUUCAACAACGGAUCUCUUGGUUCUGGCAUCGAUGAAGAACGCAGCGAAAUGCGAUAAGUAAUGUGAAUUGCAGAAUUCAGUGAAUCAUCGAAUCUUUGAACGCACAUUGCGCCCGCCAGUAUUCUGGCGGGCAUGCCUGUCCGAGCGUCAUUUCAACCCUCGAACCCCUCCGGGGGGUCGGCGUUGGGGAUCGGGAACCCCUAAGACGGGAUCCCGGCCCCGAAAUACAGUGGCGGUCUCGCCGCAGCCUCUCCUGCGCAGUAGUUUGCACAACUCGCACCGGGAGCGCGGCGCGUCCACGUCCGUAAAACACCCAACUUUCUGAAAUGUUGACCUCGGAUCAGGUAGGAAUACCCGCUGAACUUAAGCAUAUCA
rnacentral:rRNA from 1 species